GAUGAAGAACGCAGCGAAAUGCGAUAAGUAGUGUGAAUUGCAGAAUUCAGUGAAUCAUCGAAUCUUUGAACGCACAUUGCGCCCUUUGGUAUUCCAAAGGGCAUGCCUGUUCGAGCGUCAUUUGUACCCUCAAGCUUUGCUUGGUGUUGGGCGUCUUGUCUCUAGCUUUGCUGGAGACUCGCCUUAAAGUAAUUGGCAGCCGGCCUACUGGUUUCGGAGCGCAGCACAAGUCGCGCUCUCUAUCAGCAAAGGUCUAGCAUCCAUUAAGCCUUUUUUUCAACUUUUGACCUCGGAUCAGGUAGGGAUACCCGCUGAACUUAAGCAUAUCAAUAAGCGGAGGA
rnacentral:misc_RNA from 1 species